rnacentral:lncRNA from 1 species
AAGCUAUUCCUCCUCAAUCGAGCUCCGGCCGUCCCCGCCGACCUGAGAGGCCAUCACCGGACCUUGACCACCACCGCCGACCUGAGAGGCCAUCGCCAGACCUUGACCACCACCGCCGACCUGAGAGGCCUUCGCCGGAGCUUGACCACCGCCGCCGACCUGAGAGGCCCUCACCUGACCUUGACUAUCACCGUCGGCCUGAGAGGCCAUCUCCAGACCGUCGAUCGCGAGAUCCUGAACUUCCUCGCCCUUUGUCCAAGAGAAAGUAUGAAGAUUAUGAUGAUCACCAUCAUGAGGACCGCCAUCGCCGCGACCACCAUGAGGACCGCCACCACCGUGAGUAUGCCCAUCGCAGUAGCAGUAGCCACCACCGUUCAGAAUCUUCAGCUAGCGUCAAACCA